ACCAUGCAUUGUCAUCUCUGUAGCGGGCUGCUUUUACCUGGCCAAGUUCUGAAUAAAAUGAGAAAUAGGACAAAAUGUAAGAUAAGUGGAAGAUGCAAAAUCACUAUUUUUAUUAAUACAGACUAAAUUAAGUAAUAUAGCUCUGAGUAAACACAAAUAGGCCUGUUAAUUAAAACUGCAAAUUUGGCAGACUAACCCAUCAUAUCAUGGUAGUGUUAGACUAGGACAGGCCCGUGUGUACAAAGGCUGACCAGGUAGGAUUAAAGGCACGGAGGAAAGGAGAAGAGCUCCCGGUCUCCGUGGGUAGCAUCUCAUGUCAGUCUGAGGAAAAGAGGAGGGGAGGUGAAUUUGAGCAUGUCCAGUUUAUUCUUCCCAAAUUUACCAACUGGAUAAGUCAUUCCACUUCCUCUGAGAUGGUGAGGACAAGGUGCAGAGAGAAUCCUGAAGUAUUCCACCAACGGAAUUCCCCUGACGUGGAAGGAAGCAUCGGAACUCUCGUCCUCAACAUUAAGUACUGGAGAUAGAAAAGUGAACAAGACAACGCACUUCCCUUCGAAGGACUCACAGAGAGUCUUAUCAUAACAGAGAGGUAUCUAAAGAUAGAGAUCUAGGAGCUAGCAAGUCGGAAUUUGGUUGCGUUCUGAAUCUACUCCUAACUUGCUCUGUGAUCCAAGGAGUCUUCAUCACGUCCAUGUGUGUAGAGACAAAGGCCAAUCCUCAGAACCACGGGAGGAGCAAGCAGGUCAGACACAAGCCCAGACUUCCCGCGAACACUGAAGAAGUCAACAACCAGCAACUGUGUCCGAGGUGACCUCCUUCAAGACUCCAGAGAGCUGGUUUCCCUGGCAGGCCCAGGCAGGUGCCCAGGAUGUCACCUUCCUCAGGCUUCCUGUGCCACUGCCCUCCAAGAGAAAAAAAAUCCUUUCAAAGAAAAAUUUCAGUCCAUAUAAAUAAAACAUACCAUGCUGGCAAAUUCCGUGAAAAGGGCGGUCCCUGUUUUCCCUAAGUCAAAAUAUUUUCCUUUCCAAUAUAUUUGUUUCUUCUAAUAGGAGAAUGCUGUCUUCUCUCUCUACCACACCUUGCGGUUGAGGUUUAGACUCUCCAAGUAGCUUAGGCAUAAAGAGUCAAGCUGCUAGGUUCAGCUCCCAUUGAGUUUUUGCUUGGCUUCUAAAAGGAGACCCUGCUCCUGGAGGGAGGAUGACAGUGGCCUUGCACAUCCACCACCAUCUCAGAUUCUAUUAUUUGCACCUGC
rnacentral:lncRNA from 1 species